rnacentral:lncRNA from 1 species
UUCAAUUUUUUUCCUGCCAGUAGUUGUUUAUUUUUCACUCACAGUUGGUUGACGCUUCCGCACAACACAUGUGAGACCGAUAUUAUUUGAGAAGUUGAGAAGAAAUUAAAAAAUAAAUAAAGUAAAGUAGUGAGAGAAAAAUAUGGGAGAUUUUUUUUUUUUUGGUCUUUUUAAUAAUCAUUAAUUACUAUUUUAUUCUUAUUAUAUUAACUUGUUUUUACUUAGUUUAAUUUAAACUAACAUCUCUACACGCAUGACGUGCCACUUCAUUAAUUAUGUCUUCA